AGACUUCUGUAUCCGUGCUGAGAUUUCGUCAAACACCAGAUCACUAGGGUUGAUGAGACUCCCAAGAUAAGUGAGGCG
rnacentral:pre_miRNA from 1 species